UACGUAGGGUCCGAGCGUUGUCCGGAAUUAUUGGGCGUAAAGGGCUCGUAGGCGGCCUGUCGCGUCGGGAGUGAAAACUCGGGGCUCAACCCCGAGCGUGCUUUCGAUACGGGCAGGCUAGAGGUAUGCAGGGGAGAAUGGAAUUCCUGGUGUAGCGGUGGAAUGCGCAGAUAUCAGGAGGAACACCGGUGGCGAAGGCGGUUCUCUGGGCAUCACCUGACGCUGAGGAGCGAAAGCAUGGGGAGCGAACAGG
rnacentral:rRNA from 1 species